rnacentral:lncRNA from 1 species
AAGAUUCUGACGCCUUCUUGGCUUAACGUCGAACUGAGGGCCUGACUUUUAUGGAGAUAUGUCUUUCACUAUAGUAACUUAUUAUUAGUAUGAUCUUGGGGCGGUAUGACUUUUCUUUAGCUGAGGAAAAGGGAUCAAUGAUCUGUUUAACAGAUUAACAAGAGUUUCUGUUGCAGAGGAUCCAUAAUAAUAUGGCAACUGCAAAGCAUACUCAACUUGUAUCACUGCAAACUUUUGAAUAGAUUGAAGAGAAAGAUGAAGCUGAAAGAUGUAACUAUGAAAAAAUGAAGAUGGAAUCACCAAAAGAGAAGAGAGGUUUUUAGCCAAACAUAUUUUUAUAAAGGAAGGUUUUUGUUACAAGAGAUGUGGUUGGGAAGUUGUGGAUGAUUCUUGGUAUCCUUACUAUGAUUACUUCCUAGAGAAGUAUCAUUCUAUUUAUAUAUGAAAAAGUAAAGGACUAGUAGCCUAAUAAGACGAGACUAGGACAAAGUAACUUUACAAGUGGCUUAGGAUAAGACUAAAAGACGGUGAGUCAUAACUAAGGUACAAUGAUUCAUAACUAGGGUACAAAGGUCCAUUAUUAUGGUAUAGUGACUCAUCACUUAAGGUACAAUGACUAAGCACUAUGACUCAUACUAAAAUACAAAAUACAUU